AGCAGCCGCGGUAAUUCCAGCUCCAAUAGCGUAUAUUAAAGUUGUUGCAGUUAAAAGCUCGUAGUUGAAUUUCGGGAUUGGCGCAUCGGUCGUGCCUCGCGGGGUAUGAACUGGUGCAGUCAAUUUCUCACCUUCUGGAGAACCGCGAUGUCCUUAAUUGGAUGCCGCGGGGAACCAGGACCUUUACUUUGAAAAAUUAGAGUGUUUAAAGCAGGCAUUUUUGCUUGAAUACAUUAGCAUGGAAUAAUAAAAUAGGACGGCAUGGUUCUAUUUUGUUGGUUUCUAGGACCACCGUAAUGAUUAAUAGGGAUAGUUGGGGGCAUUAGUAUUCAAUUGUCAGAGGUGAAAUUCUUGGAUUUAUUGAAGACUAACUACUGCGAAAGCAUUUGCCAAGGAUGUUUUCAUUAAUCAAGAACGAAAGUUAGGGAUCGAAGACGAUCAGAUACCGUCGUAGUCUUAACCAUAAACUAUGCCGACUAGGAAUCAGACGAUGUUAAUUUUUAAUGACUCGUUUGGCACC
rnacentral:misc_RNA from 1 species